rnacentral:rRNA from 1 species
UACAGAGGGGGGCUAGCGUUGUUCGGAAUUACUGGGCGUAAAGGGGCGCGUAGGCGGCCCCGCUAAGUCGAACGUGAAAUCCCCCGGGCUCAACCCCGGGGAACUGCGUCCGAUACUGGCAGGCUUGAAUCCCGGGGAGAGGGGAUGUGGAAUUCCAGGUGUAGCGGUGAAAUGCGUAGAUAUCUGGGAGGAACACCGGGUGGCGAAGGGCGGCAUCCCUGGGACCCGGUAUUGACGCUGAGGGCGCGAAAGCCAGGGGGAGCAAACGGGG